rnacentral:tRNA from 1 species
UCCCUGGUAACUAAGUGGUAAAGAACCUGCCUGUCAAGCAGGAGAUGUGGGUUCGAUCCCUGGGUUGGGAA